rnacentral:misc_RNA from 1 species
GCACAAUUAUACUUUGUGAUCAGGUAAAUCAUCUUUGCCACUCAUGUCUAAGGCUUUUGAAUGCAUAUUCUUUGUACAUAAUUUCAAUUGAGAGUUGCUUACAUUUGUAAGUUAAAUGGAAUUUUACUGUCAAUAAGUCUUCUUCCUUUUUUUCAUGUUAUCUUCUUGUAUGCUAACUUGACAAGUGCUAUACACAUGGAGUAACAUCUAUCAAUUCAGUGCUAACAACUCAUUGCUCAUUUUUAUUCACAUCUUGUGACAGUGUGAGAAGGAAUUUCA